CGGUGGAUCACUCGGCUCGUGGAUCGAUGAAGAACGCAGCAAACUGCGCGUCGAAGUGUGAACUGCAGGACACAUGAACAUCGACGUUUCUAACGCACAUUGCGGCCCAAGGAUCCCAUUCCC
rnacentral:rRNA from 1 species